rnacentral:lncRNA from 1 species
GCUAAAUUUACCCACUUUGUUACUCAUAUAACGUGAAAAUUCGUAUCGUGAUAAAUCACACUAAGCGAAAAAAUGGAUGACUCGGACAUUAUCCUCAAUAGUGAACACCCCUCAAUAACAGACAAAUUUCUGUUCCCAGAGUUGUCCGCUAUUGAGAGGUUUCACUAUAAUAAAAACUUCAUAAACUUCUUUAAAACAUUGAGAUUUUUAUGUUGGGCUGCAUUCAGUACAUCAGUAGGCCAUGGGUUGGACAGCUCUGAUUUAAUCCAUGUACUAAUUACCCUUAAUCAUUGAUGAUAAUUCUUUAACAUUAUACAGAAAUAAACAUUUAUAUAUUUAUACAAAAUUUAAAUUUUGC